GGUUCUCGUCCGACUAUCGAAGUUAAACAACGUCAAACCUGGUUAGUACCUGAAUGGGUGACCGCUUGGGAAUACCAAGUGCUGUAA